GCUGGCGGCGUGCCUAAUACAUGCAAGUCGAACGGUCUUUCUAUGGAAGCUUGCUUCCACUGAGAAGAUAGUGGCGAACGGGUGAGUAACACGUGGGUAACCUGCCCAUAAGAGGGGGGAUAACAUCCGGAAACGGGUGCUAAUACCGCAUAGUUUUCUUGAUCGCAUGAUCGGGAAAGGAAAGACGGCCUUUGUGCUGUCGCUUAUGGAUGGACCCGCGGCGUAUUAGUUAGUUGGUGAGGUAAUGGCUCACCAAGACGAUGAUACGUAGCCGACCUGAGAGGGUGAUCGGCCACAUUGGGACUGAGACACGGCCCAAACUCCUACGGGAGGCAGCAGUAGGGAAUCUUCCGCAAUGGACGAAAGUCUGGACGGAGCAACGCCGCGUGGAGUGAAGAAAGGUUUUCGGAUCGUAAAACUCUGUUGUCAGAGAAGAACAAGUUGGAGAGUAACUGCUCCAGCCUUGACGGUAUCUGACCAGAAAGCCACGGCUAACUACGUGCCAGCCGCCGC
rnacentral:rRNA from 1 species